rnacentral:rRNA from 1 species
AACCUUUGCAAUGUGCGCAAGCACGACAAGGUUAAUCCGAGUGAUUCCUGCUAAAGGAAUCUUUUGUUAGUCUUAAAAUCACUAUUGAAUAAGGGGUGGGCAAGUUCUGGUGUCAGCCGCCGCGGUAAAACCAGCACCUCAAGUGGUCAGGAGGAUUAUUGGGCCUAAAGCAUCCGUAGCCUGCUCUGUAAGUUUCCGGUUAAAUCCAUUAGCUCAACUAAUGGCCUGCCGGAAAUACUGCAGAGCUAGGAAGUGGGAGAGGUAGACGGUACUCGGUAGGAAGGGGUAAAAUCCUUUGAUCUAUUGAUGACCACCUGUGGCGAAGGCGGUCUACCAGAACACGUUCGACGGUGAGGGAUGAAAGCUGGGGGAGCAAACCGG